UGCAAUGCCUGUGUAUCGGUUUUCCU
rnacentral:piRNA from 1 species